rnacentral:misc_RNA from 1 species
GAUGAAGAACGUAGUGAAAUGCGAUACGUAAUGUGAAUUGCAGAAUUCAGUGAAUCAUCGAGUCUUUGAACGCACAUUGCGCCCCCUGGUAUUCCGGGGGGCAUGUCUGUCCGAGCGUCAUUGCUGCCCUCAAGCACGGCUUGUGUGUUGGGCCUCCGUCCUCCUCCCGGGGGACGGGCCCGAAAGGCAGCGGCGGCACCGCGUCCGGUCCUCGAGCGUAUGGGGCUUCGUCACCCGCUCUUGCAGGCCCGGUCGGCGCUUGCCGACACAUCAAUCUUUUUUCCAGGUUGACCUCGGAUCAGGUAGGGAUACCCGCUGAACUUAAGCAUAUCAAUAAGCGGAGGA